rnacentral:rRNA from 1 species
UACGUAGGGUGGGAGGGUUUUCCGGAAUUACUGGGCGUAAAGAGCUCGGAGGUGGGUUGUCGCGUCGUCUGUGAAAUUCCGGGGCUUAACUCCGGGCGUGCAGGCGAUACGGGCAUAACUUGAGUACUGAAGGGGAGACUGGAAUUCCUGGUGUAGCGGUGAAAUGCGCAGAUAUCAGGAGGAACACCGGUGGCGAAGGCGGGUCUCUGGGCAGUAACUGACGCUGAGGAGCGAAAGCAUGGGUAGCGAACAGGAUUAGAUACCCUGGUAGUCCAUGCCGUAAACGGUGGGCGCUAGGUGUAGGGGUCUUCCACGACUUCUGUGCCGUAGCUAACGCAUUAAGCGCCCCGCCUGGGGAGUACGGCCGCAAGGCUAAAACUCAAAGGAAUUGACGGGG